rnacentral:rRNA from 1 species
UGAAAUGCGCAGAGAUAUGGAGGAACACCAGUGGCGAAGGCGACUUUCUGGUCUGUAACUGACGCUGAUGUGCGAAAGCGUGGGGAUCAAACAGGAUUAGAUCCCCUGGUAGUCCACGCCGUAAACGAUGAGUGCUAAGUGUUAGGGGGUUUCCGCCCCUUAGUGCUGCAGCUAACGCAUUAAGCACUCCGCCUGGGGAGUACGA